GGAUUCGAGGUCAAUCUGGCUGUGACAUCUGUCACCUAUUGAUUGCUAAACUUGAUUCGGCUGACCUGUCGGACCAGGAAGGUGUCCCUCCCUCUCUCACAGCUCCGUGUGUAUCCCUCCGGAAGCUGAGCGCUCGGUCAGAGAGGAUGACAACCCCUAAUAGAGAGGACCCUUUCCUCAGUCCAGCAAGCAGUUGCACUCCCCUGCUAGAACCUCCAAACAAGCUCUCAAAUACUGUUCCUUAUGCAAGAAACAAAAGACAGAAGCAAGAGCCGGGCAUGGUAGCAUGCGCCUAUAAUCCC
rfam:Fukomys damarensis contig76553, whole genome shotgun sequence.